AUAUCAAUAAGCGGAGGAAAAGAAACUAACAAGGAUUCCCCUAGUAACUGCGAGUGAAGCGGGAACAGCUCAAAUUUGAAAUCUCCGCGGUCCCCGUGGCGAAUUGUAGUUUCGAGAAGCGUUUUCGGUGGCGGCCUUGGUCCAAGUCCCUUGGAACAGGGUGUCAUAGAGGGUGAGAACCCCGUGAGGCCUUGGCUUGCUGCUAUGUGAUACGCUUUCAAAGAGUCGGGUUGUUUGGGAUUGCAGCCCAAAAUGGGAGGUAAAUUUCUUCUAAAGCUAAAUAUUGGCGAGAGACCGAUAGCGCACAAGUA
rnacentral:rRNA from 1 species